rnacentral:rRNA from 1 species
ACGCUCGACACCUACGAGAGGCAGCAGUAGGGAAUCUUCCACAAUGGGCGCAAGCCUGAUGGAGCAACACCGCGUGAGUGAAGAAGGGUUUCGGCUCGUAAAGCUCUGUUGUUGGAGAAGAACGUGCGUGAGAGUAACUGUUCACGCAGUGACGGUAUCCAACCAGAAAGUCACGGCUAACUACGUGCCAGCAGCCGCGGUAAUCUGAGCGGCUGGCAAGGC